rnacentral:rRNA from 1 species
GAGUUUGAUCGUGGCUCAGAGCGAACGCUGGCGGCAGGCUUAACACAUGCAAGUCGAGCGGGCGUAGCAAUACGUCAGCGGCAGACGGGUGAGUAACACGUGGGAACGUACCUUUUGGUUCGGAACAACUGAGGGAAACUUCAGCUAAUACCGGAUAAGCCCUAACGGGGAAAGAUUAUCGCCGAAAGAUCGGCCCGCGUCUGAUUAGCUAGUUGGUGAGGUAAUGGCUCACCAAGGCGACGAUCAGUAGCUGGUCUGAGAGGAUGAUCAGCCACACUGGGACUGAGACACGGCCCAGACUCCUACGGGAGGCAGCAGUGGGGAAUAUUGGACAAUGGGGGCAACCCUGAUCCAGCCAUGCCGCGUGAGUGAUGAAGGCCCUAGGGUUGUAAAGCUCUUUGUGCGGAAGAUAAUGACGGUACCGCAAGAAUAAGCCCCGACUAACUUCGUGCCAGCCGCCGCCGUAAG